rnacentral:tRNA from 1 species
CAAGAUGUAGCUUAAUUAACCAAAGCAUCCGGCCUACGCCCGGAAGACUU